rnacentral:rRNA from 1 species
GACGAACGCUGGCGGCGUGCUUAACACAUGCAAGUCGAACGGUGAAGCGCCUUCCUUUUUGGUGGGUGUGGAUGAGUGGCGAACGGGUGAGUAACACGUGAGUAACCUGCCCCCUUCUUCUGGAUAACCGCAUGAAAGUGUGGCUAAUACGGGAUAUUCUGGGUCUGUCGCAUGAUGGGUCUGGGAAAGAUAUUGUUUCGGUGGGGGAUGGGCUCGCGGCCUAUCAGCUUGUUGGUGGGGUGAUGGCCUACCAAGGCGGUGACGGGUAGCCGGCCUGAGAGGGUGGACGGUCACACUGGGACUGAGACACGGCCCAGACUCCGACGGGAGGCAGCAGUGGGGAAUAUUGCACAAUGGGCGAAAGCCUGAUGCAGCGACGCCGCGUGAGGGAUGGAGGCCUGCGGGUUGUGAACCUCUUUCGCCAGUGAAGCAGGCCUGCCUCGUUUGUGGGUGGGUUGACGGUAGCUGGAUAAGAAGCGCCGGCUAACUACGUG